rnacentral:rRNA from 1 species
GACGAACGCUGGCGGCGUGCUUAACACAUGCAAGUCGAACGGAAAGGCCCUGCUUUUGUGGGGUGCUCGAGUGGCGAACGGGUGAGUAACACGUGAGUAACCUGCCCUUGACUUUGGGAUAACUUCAGGAGACUGGGGCUAAUACCGGAUAGGAGCUCCUGCUGCAUGGGGGGGGUUGGAAAGUUUCGGCGGUUGGGGAUGGACUCGCGGCUUAUCAGCUUGUUGGUGGGGUAGUGGCUUACCAAGCCUUUGACGGGUAGCCGGCCUGAGAGGGUGACCGGCCACAUUGGGACUGAGAUACGGCCCAGACUCCUACGGGAGGCAGCAGGGGGGAAUAUUGCACAAUGGGCGGAAGCCUGAUGAAGCAACACCGCGUGCGGGAUGACGGCCUUCGGGUUGUAAACCGCUUUCGCCUGUGACGAAGCGUGAGUGACGGUAAUGGGUAAAGAAGCACCGGCUAACUACGUG